CUCCUACGGGAGGCAGCAGUAAGGAAUAUUGGUCAAUGGGCGCAAGCCUGAACCAGCCAUGCCGCGUGCAGGAGGACGGCCCUACGGGUUGUAAACUGACUUUUAUACGGGUAAUAAACCCCGGGUACGUCGUACCGGGCUGAAUGUACUGUAAGAAUAAGGAUCGGCUAACUCCGUGCCAGCAGCCGCGGUAAUAC
rnacentral:rRNA from 1 species